rnacentral:rRNA from 1 species
AACCUUUGCAAUGCGCGAAAGCGCGACAGGGGAACUCCGAGUGCCAGCACUUCGGUGCUGGCUGUUGCGGAUCCUAAAAAGAUCCGUGAGGAAGGGCCGGGUAAGACGGGUGCCAGCCGCCGCGGUAAUACCCGCGGCCCGAGUGGUGGCCGCUAUUAUUGGGCCUAAAGGGUCCGUAGCCGGCCCGGCGCGUCCCGGGGGAAAUCCGGCCGCUCAACGGUCGGGCUUCUCCGGGAUACGGCCGGGCUUGGGACCGGGUGGGGGCAGGGGUACUCCGGGGGUAGCGGUGAAAUGCUGUGAUCCCCGGGGGACCACCCGCAGGGAAGCCGCCUGCCCAGAACGGGUCCGACGGUGAGGGACGAAAGCCAGGGGAGCAAACGGGAUUAGAUACCCCGGGUAGUCCUGGCCGUAAACGAUGCGGGCUUUGUGUCGGGCACACUGCGUGUGCGCCCGGUGCCGUAGGGAAGCCGUUAAGCCCGCCGCCUGGGGAGUAUGGUCGCAAGGCUGAAACUUAAAGGAAUUGGCGGGGGAGCACCACAACGGGUGGAGCCUGCGGUUCAAUUGGAUUCAACGCCGGAAAGCUUACCGGGUGCGACAGCUGGAUGAAGGCCAGGCUGCAGACCUUGCCGGACUCGCUGAGAGGUGGUGCAUGGCCGUCGUCAGUUCGUGUCGUGAGACAUCCUGUUAAGUCAGGCAACGAGCGAGACCCGCGCCCACUGUUGCCAGGCCCUCCUUGCGGGGGGCGGCACCCUGUGGGGACCGCCGCUGCUAAAGCGGAGGAAGGAGCGGGCUACGGUAGGUCAGUAUGCCCCGAAUCUCCCGGGCUACACGCGGGCUACAAUGGUCGGGACAAUGGGCCGCGACCCCGAGAGGGGAAGCCAAUCCCCUAAACCCGGCCCCAGUACGGAUUGGGGGUUGUAACUCACCCCCAUGAAGAUGGAAUCCGUAGUAAUCGCGUUUCAACAUAACGCGGUGAAUAUGUCCCUGCUCCUUGCACACACCGCCCGUCAAACCAUCCGAGCGGGGCUCCGAUGAGGGCGGCGCGCGGCGCCGUUCGAAUCGGAGUUCUGUAAGGAGGGUU